rnacentral:sRNA from 1 species
UGCAUCUGAAGCCUGACGAGGAUGAGAACCUCCGGGGGCAAGAGGUUCGACUCGAGCUCAGCGAGAGAACGUUGCGUCAGCAACGGCCCGCAGGGCGAGCCACGCAGUGGCGAGUCAUCCUCUAUCACCGACCA